UACGUAGGUGGCAAGCGUUGUCCGGAAUUAUUGGGCGUAAAGAGCUCGUAGGUGGUCUGUUGCGUCCGCUGUGAAAACCCAGGGCUUAACCCUGGGCUGGCAGUGGAUACGGGCAGACUAGAGGUAGGUAGGGGAGAAUGGAAUUCCCGGUGUAGCGGUGAAAUGCGCAGAUAUCGGGAGGAACACCGGUGGCGAAGGCGGUUCUCUGGGCCUUACCUGACACUGAGGAGCGAAAGCGUGGGGAGCGAACAGG
rnacentral:rRNA from 1 species